rnacentral:rRNA from 1 species
AGCAGCCGCGGUAAUUCCAGCUCCAAUAGCGUAUAUUAAAGUUGUUGCAGUUAAAAAGCUCGUAGUUGAAUUUCGGGAUCAGUUCGCUGGUCGUGCCUCUGGUAUGUACUGGUGUUACUGGUUUCUACCUUCUGACGAACUGUCAUGUCAUUAAUUUGGUGUGGCGGGGAAUUAGGACUGUUACUUUGAAAAAAUUAGAGUGUUUAAAGCAGGCUCGCGCUUGAAUACAUUAGCAUGGAAUAAUGAAAUAGGACGUUCGAUCCUAUUUUGUUGGUUUCUAGGAUUGACGUAAUGAUUAAUAGGGAUAGUUGGGGGCAUUAGUAUUCAAUUGUCAGAGGUGAAAUUCUUGGAUUUAUUGAAGACUAACUACUGCGAAAGCAUUUGCCAAGGAUGUUUUCAUUAAUCAAGAACGAAAGUUAGGGGAUCGAAGACGAUCAGAUACCGUCGUAGUCUUAACCAUAAACUAUGCCGACUAGGGAUCGGAUGAUGUUAAUUUUUUAAUGACUCA